UGAGUAACACGUAUCCAACCUGCCGUCUACUCUUGGACAGCCUUCUGCAAGGAAGAUUAAUACAAGAUGGCAUCAUGAGUCCGCAUGUUCACAUGAUUAAAGGUAUUCCGGUAGACGAUGGGGAUGCGUUCCAUUAGAUAGUAGGCGGGGUAACGGCCCACCUAGUCUUCGAUGGAUAGGGGUUCUGAGAGGAAGGUCCCCCACAUUGGAACUGAGACACGGUCCAA
rnacentral:rRNA from 1 species